rnacentral:rRNA from 1 species
GGAGUUAGCCGGUGCUUCUUCUGCGAGUAACGUCACAGAUGUAAGGUAUUAACUUACACCCUUUCCUCCUCGCUGAAAGUGCUUUACAACCCGAAGGCCUUCUUCACACACGCGGCAUGGCUGCAUCAGGGUUUUCCCCCAUUGUGCAAUAUUCCCCACUGCUGCCUCCCGUAGGAGUCUGGGCCGUGUCUCAGUCCCAGUGUGGCUGAUCAUCCUCUCAGACCAGCUAGGGAUCGUCGCCUAGGUGAGCCUUUACCUCACCUACUAGCUAAUCCCACCUGGGCUUAUCCAUCAGCGCAAGGCCCGAAGGUCCCCUGCUUUCCCCCGGUAGGGCGUAUGCGGUAUUAGCAGUCGUUUCCAACUGUUAUCCCCCACAAAUGGGCAAAUUCCCAGGCAUUACUCACCCGUCCGCCGCUCGUCAUCUUCAAAAGCAAGCUUUUGAAAUGUUACCGCUCGACUUGCAUGUGUUAGGCCUGCCGCCAGCGUUCAAUCUGAGCCAUAAUCAAACUCUGA